UACGAAGGGGGCUAGCGUUGCUUGGAAUCACUGGGCGUAAAGCGCACGUAGGCGGGUUGCUAAGUCGGGGGGUGAAAUCCUGGAGCUCAACUCCAGAACUGCCUUCGAUACUGGCGGCCUUGAGUCCGGGAGAGGUGAGUGGAACUCCGAGUGUAGAGGUGAAAUUCGUAGAUAUUCGGAAGAACACCAGUGGCGAAGGCGGCUCACUGGACCGGUAUUGACGCUGAGGUGCGAAAGCGUGGGGAGCAAACAGGG
rnacentral:rRNA from 1 species